UAUCCGUAGGUGAACCUGCGGAUGGAUCAUUAACACAUCUCAACCCCAAAAAAACAAAAAAGGAUCCAAACCUUCUUGGCUUCCUUUUUUUUUUUUAACCCACCCCACAAAGCGAACUUUUCAACGGGAAGUUUCUCUGACUCUUAUGUGGAUUGAGUCAUUUCAAAGGAGUUACUUGCCGUUCGUUUUUUUUUUUCCCUUUUUUUUUCUUCUUUUAACCACACAAACUUAUCAAAUCAAACUGACUUAAAAGCUUUUUUUUUUGUCUUUGUCUUCUUCUUCUUCCUCUUGAAGGAAAAAAAGAAGCAAGGAAAAAAAAAAAAUCAAACAAACUUAAUGUACAACUCUUAACAACGGAUAUCUUGGCUCUC
rnacentral:misc_RNA from 1 species